GAUGAACGCUGGCGGCGUGCCUAAUACAUGCAAGUCGAUCGAACAGACGAGGAGCUUGCUCCUCUGACGUUAGCGGCGGACGGGUGAGUAACACGUGGAUAACCUACCUAUAAGACUGGGAUAACUUCGGGAAACCGGAGCUAAUACCGGAUAAUAUAUUGAACCGCAUGGUUCAAUAGUGAAAGACGGUUUUGCUGUCACUUAUAGAUGGAUCCGCGCCGCAUUAGCUAGUUGGUAAGGUAACGGCUUACCAAGGCAACGAUGCGUAGCCGACCUGAGAGGGUGAUCGGCCACACUGGAACUGAGACACGGUCCAGACUCCUACGGGAGGCAGCAGUAGGGAAUCUUCCGCAAUGGGCGAAAGCUUGACGGAGCAACGCCGCGUGAGUGAUGAAGGUCUUCGGAUCGUAAAACUCUGUUAUUAGGGAAGAACAAAUGUGUAAGUAACUAUGCACGUCUUGACGGUACCUAAUCAGAAAGCCACGGCUAACUACGUG
rnacentral:rRNA from 1 species